rnacentral:lncRNA from 1 species
UAUUAAACACAAACUUGGUAUCCAGGAAACGCUCCAAGGUAAAGGAUGAUCUGAAGAAAACAGGCUUUGGAGAUAAAAACCCUAUAUGUGGCCCAGUGGUGACAUCUGCUAAGAGGCAAUGCCCAGAGGCCAAGCAGAGGGUUAUCAUGGGAACAGUGAACUAGGGCCGUCACCCUACUAAUACUCAUCCUACAUAAAGGAAGGAUUUUGAGAGUAUUACCGAGUAAGAAGUUACACAUGAUAAGAUUUCUGUCGUCCUCUGCUGUAGAGCCAGACAUCUGCUCGAAGCAUCAAUACCAAUGCUUCACAUCACCAAAACUCGUCACUAACCACCAUGUGCUUCUUCUUUUUAAAGGCCACUUGCCUGAAAAAGAUUUCAGUGCAUGGAACGGAUAUCGUUGGUCAUAACUCAGAUUCGUCGUGUUUGCUUCUGUUUUGUUGCUGUUGUUUUGUUUUUGGUUUUUUUAACGUUGAUGAAUGCACUAUUUUACCACUGUAAAUUUACCUCAUAGUUCCUUUGUUUUGGGUAAAGUACAACCACAAAGCAAAUUAAAAUUUUCUCAUUGUCCUUUGUGGUGGUGGUGGUGGUGGAGACCCCUUAAAUCAGGAGUAGAUGCCUGGGAUAGAGCAACUCUGGGACGUAAUUUCUUAGGAAUCCUGGGUCUUUCCCCCCACCCCCCCACUCUUUCCCUUAGAGAAAGCUCUUAGGUCUCUAGUCUGGCCCUUUUCCAGGUCCUCAGUGUCCAAUCUAUCUGCAGGCCCCAAAGCAAAUCUACAUGAGGUCUUUUUUCCACUUCUCCACUUUCUGGGUAUCAAGGACUUUAAUUUUUUUCCAAAUAUCCAAUAGCUUUCUUGUAGGGUCUACACAGGCCUCUUUACUGGUUUAUUGAGUCGGGUUUAUUGAGAACACUCC